rnacentral:snoRNA from 1 species
UUCGGUGAUGAUAACUUCUGCAUAGGAAGUGCCGUCCGAUGCGAUAACUGACGAUUGGCAAUAUUUGAUCUGAGA